rnacentral:rRNA from 1 species
AGAGUUUGAUCAUGGCUCAGGAUGAACGCUAGCGGCAGGCUUAAUACAUGCAAGUCGAGUGGCAGCGCAGUGUAGCAAUACAUGGGCGGCGACCGGCAAACGGGUGCGGAACACGUACGCAACCUUCCUUCAAGCGGGGAAUAGCUUUCGGAAACGAAAAUUAAUACCCCACAGUAAUGUCUGAGGGCAUCUGAGGACAUUUAAAGAUUUAUCACUUGAAGAUGGGCGUGCGCCUGAUUAGGUAGUUGGCGGGGUAACGGCCCACCAAGCCUACGAUCAGUAACUGGUGUGAGAGCACGACCAGUCACACGGGCACUGAGACACGGGCCCGACUCCUACGGGAGGCAGCAGUAAGGAAUAUUGGUCAAUGGACGCAAGUCUGAACCAGCCAUGCCGCGUGGAGGAUGAAGGUCCUCUGGAUUGUAAACUUCUUUUAUCGGAGAAGAAACCCCAGCAUUCUUGUUGGGUUGACGGUACCCGAUGAAUAAGCACCGGCUAACUCCGUGCCAGCAGCCGCGGUAAUACGGAGGGUGCAAGCGUUAUCCGGAUUCACUGGGUUUAAAGGGAGCGUAGGUGGGCUGGUAAGUCAGUGGUGAAAUCUCCGGGCUUAACUCGGAAACUGCCGUUGAUACUAUCAGUCUUGAAUAUUGUGGAGGUAAGCGGAAUAUGUCAUGUAGCGGUGAAAUGCUUAGAUAUGACAUAGAACACCGAUAGCGAAGGCAGCUUGCUACACAAUUAUUGACACUGAGGCUCGAAAGCGUGGGCAAACAGGAUUAGAUACCCCAGUAGUCC